rnacentral:tRNA from 1 species
AGUUAAUGAACUUGUAAAAGUAUAUACUUUGAAAGUAUAAAAAAGGGUUUAAAUCUCUAUUAGCUU